rnacentral:rRNA from 1 species
UACGGAGGGGGGCUAGCGUUAUUCGGAAUUAUUGGGCGUAAAGGGCGUGUAGGCGGCUUCGUAAGUCUCAUUGUGAAAGCCCUCGGCUCAACCGAGGAACUGCAUGGGAAACUGCGGAGCUUGAGUCCGGGAGAGGAGAGCGGAAUUCCCAGUGUAGCGGUGAAAAUGCGUAGAUAUUGGGAGGAACACCGGUGGCGAAGGCGGCUCUCUGGACCGGUACUGACGCUGAGACGCGAAAAGCUAGGGGGAGCAAACGGGG